GAGUUUGAUCGUGGCUCAGAACGAACGCUGGCGGCAUGCCUAAUACAUGCAAGUCGAACGCUCGUAGCAAUACGGGAGUGGCGGACGGGUGAGUAACGCGUGGGAACCUGCCCAGUGGUAGGGAAUAACCGCGGGAAACUGCGGCUAAUACCCUAUGAGCCCUACGGGGGAAAGAUUUAUCGCCAUUGGAGGGGCCCGCGUCGGAUUAGCUAGUUGGUGGGGUAACGGCCUACCAAGGCGACGAUCCGUAGCUGGUCUGAGAGGAUGAUCAGCCACACUGGGACUGAGAUACGGCCCAGACUCCUACGGGAGGCAGCAGUAGGGAAUAUUGGACAAUGGGCGAAAGCCUGAUCCAGCAAUGCCGCGUGAGUGAAGAAGGCCUUAGGGUUGUAAAGCUCUUUCGGCGGGGAAGAUGAUGACGGUACCCGCAGAAGAAGCCCCGGCUAACUUCGUGCCAGCAGCCGCCGUAAG
rnacentral:rRNA from 1 species